rnacentral:lncRNA from 1 species
CUUACACACCUUUUCACAGACCCCGCCGUCGGGGCGCGGCCAGGUCAGAUCCCUUUUGAUCCGGGCCUGGGCUGAGUGCUCCCCCCGGGCUUCAGGUGACGCGGCCCCGCGGAGCGUGGGGUCGCCCGAGUUGGGCUGGGGAAGCCAGGGACGGAGGUGUCCGGCCGUCACCCCUAGAGGAGGGCGUGCGGGGGUCUGUUUUGCGGCACAAAGCAUGUGCACAGCCAGGUAUCAUCCUGCGUGACUCAGAACAGCCUUGAGAUGUAAGGAGUGUCAUCCCAGCCUCGAACCUGGGGAGCUUUCUAAGACUCCCAAGGAUGGUACUUAUGCAUCUUGCUGUGAAGAAUAACAGGAUGAGUGCUAAUAAUGACCAUUUCCUGACACCUACCUGGCAACAGAUGCGAGCCACCCCUCUGGCUGCUCCUGCGGGUUCCCUGUCCAGGAAGAAGCGGUUGGAGUUGGAUGACAACUUAGAUACCGAGCGUCCCGUCCAGAAACGAGCUCGAAGUGGGCCCCAGCCCAGACUGCCCCCCUGCCUGUUGCCCCUGAGCCCACCUA